GACGAACGCUGGCGGCGUGCCUAAUACAUGCAAGUAGAACGCUGAAGGAGGAGCUUGCUUCUCUGGAUGAGUUGCGAACGGGUGAGUAACGCGUAGGUAACCUGCCUGGUAGCGGGGGAUAACUAUUGGAAACGAUAGCUAAUACCGCAUAAUAGUAGAUGUUGCAUGACAUUUGCUUAAAAGGUGCAAUUGCAUCACUACCAGAUGGACCUGCGUUGUAUUAGCUAGUUGGUGAGGUAAAGGAUCACCAAGGCAACGAUACAUAGCCGACCUGUGAGGGGGGUCUGCCACACUGGGACUGAGACACGGCCCAGACUCCUACGGGAGGGAGCAGUAGGGAAUCUUCGGCAAUGGACGGAAGUCUGACCGAGCAACGCCGCGUGAGUGAAGAAGGUUUUCGGAUCGUAAAGCUCGGUUGUAAGGGAAGAACGAGUGUGAGAGUGGAAAGUUCACACUGUGACGGUAUCUUACCAGAAAGGGACGGCUAACUACGUG
rnacentral:rRNA from 1 species